rnacentral:rRNA from 1 species
GAUCCUGGCUCAGGAUGAACGCUGGCGGCGUGCUUAACACAUGCAAGUCGAACGAUUGAAGCUGGAGCUUGCUCCGGCCGAUUUAGUGGCGGACGGGUGAGUAACGCGUGGGUAACCUGCCUCAUACAGGGGGAUAGCAGUUGGAAACGACUGGUAAAACCGCAUAAGCGCACAGUAUCGCAUGAUACAGUGUGAAAACACUCCGGUGGUAUGAGAUGGACCCGCGUCUGAUUAG